rnacentral:rRNA from 1 species
GACGAACGCUGGCGGCGUGCUUAACACAUGCAAGUCGAACGGAAAGGCCUGCAGCUUGCUGCGGGUACUCGAGUGGCGAACGGGUGAGUAACACGUGGGUGAUCUGCCUUGCACUUCGGGAUAAGCUUGGGAAACUGGGUCUAAUACCGGAUAGGACAGCUGUUUAGUGUCAGUUGUGGAAAGUUUUUUCGGUGCAAGAUGAGCUCGCGGCCUAUCAGCUUGUUGGUGGGGUAAUGGCCUACCAAGGCGUCGACGGGUAGCCGGCCUGAGAGGGUGUACGGCCACAUUGGGACUGAGAUACGGCCCAGACUCCUACGGGAGGCAGCAGUGGGGAAUAUUGCACAAUGGGCGGAAGCCUGAUGCAGCGACGCCGCGUGGGGGAUGAAGGCCUUCGGGUUGUAAACUCCUUUCACCAUCGACGAAGGGUUUCUGACGGUGGAUGGAGAAGAAGCACCGGCUAACUACGUGCCAGCAGCCGCGGUAAUACGUAGGGUGCGAGCGUUGUCCGGAAUUACUGGGCGUAAAGAGCUCGUAGGUGGUUUGUCGCGUCGUCUGUGAAAUUCCGGGGCUUAACUCCGGGCGUGCAGGCGAUACGGGCAUAACUUGAGUACUGUAGGGGAGACUGGAAUUCCUGGUGUAGCGGUGAAAUGCGCAGAUAUCAGGAGGAACACCGGUGGCGAAGGCGGGUCUCUGGGCAGUAACUGACGCUGAGGAGCGAAAGCAUGGGGAGCGAACAGGAUUAGAUACCCUGGUAGUCCAUGCCGUAAACGGUGGGCGCUAGGUGUGGGUUUCCUUCCACGGGAUCCGUGCCGUAGCUAACGCAUUAAGCGCCCCGCCUGGGGAGUACGGCCGCAAGGCUAAAACUCAAAGGAAUUGACGGGGGCCCGCACAAGCGGCGGAGCAUGUGGAUUAAUUCGAUGCAACGCGAAGAACCUUACCUGGGCUUGACAUAUACAGGAUCGCGCCAGAGAUGGUGUUUCCCUUGUGGCUUGUAUACAGGUGGUGCAUGGUUGUCGUCAGCUCGUGUCGUGAGAUGUUGGGUUAAGUCCCGCAACGAGCGCAACCCUUGUCUUAUGUUGCCAGCACGUUGUGGUGGGGACUCGUAAGAAACUGCCGGGGUUAACUCGGAGGAAGGUGGGGAUGACGUCAAAUCAUCAUGCCCCUUAUGUCCAGGGCUUCACACAUGCUACAAUGGUCGGUACAGUGGGUUGCCAGUCCGUGAGGGCGAGCUAAUCCCGCAAAGCCGGUCCCAGUUCGGAUCGGGGUCUGCAACUCGACCCCGUGAAGUCGGAGUCGCUAGUAAUCGCAGAUCAGCAACGCUGCGGUGAAUACGUUCCCGGGCCU